rnacentral:lncRNA from 1 species
UUUUAUUAAAAGAAAAAGGGGUGAAAAGAACAAAGUUUUGUCCAUCUUUGUUCAUCAUAGCUGAAAGUUAGAGAAGAGAAAGGAGAGGAGAAAGCUCUUGAGUAUUCGGUCAUUAGGAGGAGGAAAAUUGAAGGUAAGUUCUUGGUACCUUGCUUCUAUUUUGAGGUUCAUGAGUUCUUCUUGAUUCUACCUUAACUCUUGAAGCAUAUUUUGGUUUUUGGUUGUGUUGUGAGCAUUUGGUCCUGAAUUAAAAUGAAGGAAAUGGUUGUUGUUUCAUGUUCUUUUGAUGAAAAAGGGAAGAUAUGUGAAGUUGAGCCAAACAAAUGAGCAUGCAUGUGCCUUAGAUGCUAAAGGGAAAAAUCGGCUAACAUGUUGUGCUUUAAAAUGAUGAAAUGGAGAUUAUGCUUAAGUAAAAUCAUAGAUAUGUCAUGAUUGAUUGGUGAUAUACAUGUUUAAAUAACAUGCAUGCAAGAUAGGUGUAUGAAAGAGUGAUUUGGUAAUAAAUCUGCUUGGGACAGCAGCAGUAACGUGACUUUGGAAAAUCACCAUAAAUUGUGAGAGAUGAAUUAGAAGCUGAAUAAAUUAUGUAAUUAAAGCUUAUUGAGUCUAGUUUCUAAUGAAAUAAACAAGAACAUAUUUUGAAUUCUGUACAAUGAGAAAUUUGAUUCGUAAUGAAGAGUGGUCAGAUUAGUCAAACAGUGAAACUUGGGAAACUUUGAGAAAAAUCUGGUAUUGAUUGGCUAAACCAAAAAUUCUGAAAAUUUUAUAGAUAGAAGAUAUAUGAGUCUAUUUUCAAGGAAAAUUAACGGAACUUGAUUUGGAGUUUCGUAGCUCCAGUUAUAAAUGAUUUAGUGACUGUUGCUCAGGAAGACAGCUUGCAGUGAAAUUAUGAUUAUGUGGUAAACAUUGACAAAAAUUUGUUAAUGAGUUGCUUAUUGAUUUCUUAUAAGCUUACUAUGAUCUGUAGGUGUGGUUGGCCGAAUAUUGUAAGGGGUUAAUACGUAGUUUGUAAUUGAAUAGUUAGAUUAACGUGUUAGUAAUCCAAUUGUAGGCGGUUCGUGUGUGGAUCUCGUCAGCAUAUCGUCGCAAACAGGUGUGUAACUAACACCCUCUUUCUUAGUCUAGAUCGUCAAAAGUCGAAAAGCCGAAAUGCCGAAAACCGGUAUUUUGUAGAUUUGUGAGUGUGCGAAUGCUCGUGAGGUAAAUCGAUUAAUGUUUUUGGUAAGCUACAAUGUUUGGACUGCAAAGUGCAUGAUUUCUGUGCCCUCGAUAUUUUUGGGCUUAAUGGGCCAAAAUUGGAAUGAUGGGCCAAUUGGCCCAAUUCGGUAAGAACCCUCGGUACGUGAUUCUGUUAGUACGUGAAAAGUAGGAAUAUGCAUGAAAAACCCUGAAAUAGAUAAAUUACUGAAAUACCUUUAAAAGUGGAAAAUUUACAAUUUUACCCCUAGUAGAUAAAUUACCGAAAUACCCCUAGAGUUAAAUUGACCUAAAUGCAUGUUUGACUGUUGUUAUUUACUGCAUGCCAUGUUGUUAUUAUCUGAUGCAUGGGAUUGGGAUAUUGACGGAGGAAGUACUGAAAGUGGCUUGUCCACGUACUGGAGGCUUUGCCUCAAUUUACUGUUAACUGAGCAGCAAGGCUGCAACUGUGGAGUGUUGGGCUGGGUGGGUUGAGCUAUUCCCCACAUGGAGUGUAGGGCUGGUACAGGUGGAGUGUAGUGGUUGGUGGGUUGAGUAGUCUCCCCAAAUGGGCUUGCAUAUGUUAUUGAUGUUGCAUGUAUUUUGAAAUGGGCCUAUGGGCCAUACUGUCAUCUGAAUAAGGGGCUAAGGCCCAGUUUAUUGUAAUCUGAAAAGGGCUCUGGUCCAGUACCACUGUUACCUGAAUGGGCUUAGGCCCAAUAGGCUUGAGCUGACUUGAGCUUUGAAUGGGUCUUCCUUACACACUGAGUUUCCCCAAACUCACCCCUUUUAUUAUCAUCCACACAGGAAAUCCCCAACCAUAGUGGGCUUGGAGCUGUGAGGGAAUUCGGAGUGGCCACCCGUUCUGAAAGUUUGAUUUUCUUCUGGUGAACUGGACAUCCUUUUAUUUACGUUUGAAGUUUUUGGGCUUUUAAAUGUAAUAAGGCCGCUUAAUUAUUUUUGAUGGUUUUAAUAUGUAUUACUAAGAUAGGUAAUACUUAUUUUAACUGUUGAAAUUGGAUAGCUUUAGGGCGCGUUUUCAAAAACAACAAUUGAUUUCAAAAUAACACGACAACAAGCAAAGCUUUCGCAAUGAAAGUAUUUUCCAAAAUUAAUCACUUUUCCUAAAAAUGACUUAAUCAAAUCGGUUUCCUAGAAAUAUCCAUGACGUUAAGGUGUGGCAAUGGUGG